rnacentral:rRNA from 1 species
UACGUAGGUGGCAAGCGUUGUCCGGAAUUAUUGGGCGUAAAGCGCGCGCAGGCGGUUUCUUAAGUCUGAUGUGAAAGCCCCCGGCUCAACCGGGGAGGGUCAUUGGAAACUGGGGAACUUGAGUGCAGAAGAGAAGAGUGGAAUUCCACGUGUAGCGGUGAAAUGCGUAGAGAUGUGGAGGAACACCAGUGGCGAAGGCGACUCUUUGGUCUGUAACUGACGCUGAGGCGCGAAAGCGUGGGGAGCAAACAGG